GCUGGUGUGGUGUGGUGUAGUGGUUAGCAUAUCUGACCGGAAAUCAGAAGACCCAGGUUCGAUUCCUGGCGUCAGCA